rnacentral:rRNA from 1 species
AGGACGAACGCUGGCGGCGUGCCUAACACAUGCAAGUCGAACGCGCUCCAUUCGGUAGCAAUACUGAUGAAGAGUGAGUGGCGAACGGGUGAGUAACACAUGAGCAACCUGCCCCGAAGACUGGGACAACACCGGGAAACCGGUGCUAAUACCGGAUAUCCCUAUCGGACCGCAUGAUCUGAUAAGGAAAUGGAUUCCGCUUCGGGAGGGGCUCGUGGCCUAUCAGCUAGUUGGUGAGGUAACGGCUCACCAAGGCAUCGACGGGUAGCUGGUCUGAGAGGACGAUCAGCCACACUGGGACUGAGACACGGCCCAGACUCCUACGGGAGGCAGCAGUGGGGAAUCUUGCGCAAUGGGCGAAAGCCUGACGCAGCAACGCCGCGUGGAGGACGAAGGCUUUCUGAGUUGUAAACUCCUUUCAGCAGGGACGAUAGUGACGGUACCUGCAGAAGAAGCACCGGCAACUACGUGCCAGCAGCCGG